GUACAACAAAUCCAAUUACAGCUAACCGAUGUCUAUAAUCAAAGACUUUCAACAUUAACACUGUCACACAUGACCAAAAUUUUCGAUCAACGAAAAAAUUUCGACCUUCGACGACUGUUAGCGGGCAGCGAACGUCUUAUCGAUCACCUUCUCACGAAUGAUAGCCAAAAACGAGCGUGCAAUAAAAUUUCAAAUAAUCCAUUCAUAUUUUUGACACAAUCCGUUCGAAUUUUGGCUCUGGCCUCGGCUGUGUGUGAGUCGAUCAUCGCAGCGAUUGAUUCUUUUCCAAU